ensembl:lncRNA
AUUUUGUGAAGUUGCACCAGAACAACCAUAUUUAUAAUGGAAAGAUAUUUUUGACCAUUUGUUUUUAACUGUAUAAUUUUUAACUGUAUCAGUGGCAUUGUGCUUUAAACUAACAUGUUUAAUUAAACAAGCAUAUUUACUAUGUUUUAAACAGCAUACUUGUUAAACACUAUCUAGUAAAUUAUUUAUUAUUGUACUUUGCAGGAUGUGUUGAAUGCACAGUAAAUAACUGGAACAUUUAUGAGGACAGGGCACCAAAAAUGGAGACUGGCCCAGAAGAACAGGGACAUCUGGUCACCCUAGAAAAGGAUGUUAAAAAACAAAGAGCUCUAUAAAAACUGGAGACAGCUAACCAUUAGUGUUCUCAUUUAUAUAAACAUUUGAUACAAAACAAAACAAACAAAAAAAAUGAAUAAUUUGAAAUGACCAUUUUUGCCUAUGGGUCCUCAAUAAACCAACCAUCUGAACUGAAUACCUUGUGACUAAAAACUGAAGAGCUGCAGGAAAACAAGUGGCUGAUGGCAUACAAGAACAAAUGCAAACCUUCACUUGUGGCUAUCCUGAGCUGUGGCAUCAAAGACAACAGACAAGGGAAAUAUAAAUCCAUGUCACACUUAAGAGCACAAAAACAAACGAAGGCUGGCCCGUGUGGUCCAAUCCAAUAGACAAGCUACUGUAGGUCAAAUUGCUCUUUAAGUUAAUGCUGGUUCUGAUGGAAAGGUGUCAGAAUACACAGUGCAUCACAGUUUGUUACAUAUGGGGCUGCAGAUCAGUCAUGUUCUGCCAACCAUGUGGAUGUUACUUUGACAUGUACCACCCACCUAAGCAUUGUUGCAGACCACGUACACCCUUUCAUGGAAACGGUAUUCCCUGGUGGCUGUGGCCUCUUUCAGCAGGAUAAUGCGCCCUGCCACAAAGCAAAAAAAGGUCAGGAAUGGUUUGAGAAGCACAACAACGAGUUUGAGGUGUUGACAUGGCCUCCAAAUUCUCCAGAUCUCAAUCCAAUCGAGCAUCUGUGGGAUGUGCUGAUCCAUGGAGGCCCCACCUCACAACUUACAGGAUUUAAAGGAUCUGCUGCUAACAUCUUGGUGCCAGAUACCACAGCACACCUUCAGGGGUCUAGUGGAGUCCAUGCCUCGACGGGUCAGGGCUGUUUUGGCAGAAAAGGGGGGACCAACACAAUAUUAGAACUUCCAGUAGGACCUUCAGGAGAACAUAACAGUGUACUAAAGUCACAAAGAAGAAGAAGAAAUAAAGGAAAAAUGAAAAAGCAAGAGCGAGAGAGAGAUGAACUCUGCACCCCAAAAGGCUUAAACUGAGAAAAUAGCCAAGCACAGCAGGUGACGUAAAUGGCAAAUACCGGGAUAGGUACACUCAGCAAGUAGGUGAGAUUACGCAAUAUAUGCCAAACUAAAUUUCAAAAGCUGAGGGGAAACACCAAGAAAACAUUACUGAAGUACUAGAUCAAGUCACUACUAAAACAAGGCCUUUUGCAUAAUCAUUAGAAGUG